UACGGGGGGGGCAAGCGUUGUUCGGAAUUACUGGGCGUAAAGGGCUCGUAGGUGGCCAACUAAGUCAGACGUGAAAUCCCUCGGCUUAACCGGGGAACUGCGUCUGAUACUGGAUGGCUUGAGUUUGGGAGAGGGACGCGGAAUUCCAGGUGUAGCGGUGAAAUGCGUAGAGAUGUGGAGGAACACCAAUGGCGAAGGCAGCCUUCUGGGCCAACACUGACGCUCAUGCACGAAAGCGUGGGGAGCAAACAGG
rnacentral:rRNA from 1 species